rnacentral:lncRNA from 1 species
GGGCAGAAGGCACAGCAAAGGCCAAGGCGGGGUGUUUGGAACAUGCCCAGCUGGUGUGGAGAAGAGACUGGGAAGGAUUCAAGCUCAGGCUCCUGGAGGAGAAAGGCAUAGGGGAAUGCUGGACCGUUCACCUGGGGGUUGGUUAUGCAGAGCCUCCGAUGCCUGACAUGGGAACGAGGGAGUGGCCUGAUCAGAUGGGUCUUUAUCUAUUUCCAUCACUUAACCAUGAGCUCUUUGGGAACCAGAACCCAGUCAGAACCAUUGGGGUAUCUGAAUCUGGACCCAAGCAUGUAGUGGGGCUCAGUCUACCUGUCACCUCAUUCAGGAUUCUUUCAGUUGUCUUUGUGAGGAAGACAUGGGACAUGUGGACGAUAUCCUCACAAUAUUUCUGCAAUAAUGAAACAACAUGAUUCUGGGACUUGCUUCAAAUAUUCAGCGUGGGGGAGUGGGUAGGAGUAUAGCGAAAACCAGAUGGGCCAUGAGUUGAUAAUUGUUGGACUGGGUGAUGGAGACUGCUUUGUUAUAUGUUUCCCUUUACUGUGGUGUACAUUUAACAUUUUUCCAUAAUAAAAAAAGAAUUUAAACCCAGCAAUAAAUCCUUUCCAACAAUUGCUUUUUAAAAUGCUCCUUUUAAUAAACUUGCUUUUAAGUUCAAUUGACAGGUGGUUUUUAUCAUAACUCCUCCCUCAUAUUUUUGGCCUUUGUAUCUACUGUCCUUAUUUAUUAACUUAUUUUUAACAGUUUUAUUGAG